GCACCUUGACGGUACCUAACCAGAAAGCCACGGCUAACUACGUGCCAGCAGCCGCGGUAAUACGUAGGUGGCAAGCGUUGUCCGGAAUUAUUGGGCGUAAAGGGCUCGCAGGCGGUUUCUUAAGUCUGAUGUGAAAGCCCCCGGCUCAACCGGGGAGGGUCAUUGGAAACUGGGGAACUUGAGUGCAGAAGAGGAGAGUGGAAUUCCACGUGUAGCGGUGAAAUGCGUAGAGAUGUGGAGGAACACCAGUGGCGAAGGCGACUCUCUGGUCUGUAACUGACGCUGAGGAGCGAAAGCGUGGGGAGCGAACAGGAUUAGAUACCCUGGUAGUCCACGCCGUAAACGAUGAGUGCUAAGUGUUAGGGGGUUUCCGCCCCUUAGUGCUGCAGCUAACGCAUUAAGCACUCCGCCUGGGGAGUACGGUCGCAAGACUGAAACUCAAAGGAAUUGACGGGGGCCCGCACAAGCGGUGGAGCAUGUGGUUUAAUUCGA
rnacentral:rRNA from 2 species